UCUAAUCAAUGAGGCUCCAAAUCCAACUCCAGCUCCCGCCCCACGACAAUGCCCAGAAUGAAAUUCCUUCUGCUCCAAAUACACAUUUUAAACCGAAACCUACUCAAACCCUGAACAUGAGCAGCAGGCGUACUUCUCUUUUUUGGGGGGUUGUGAAGAGAGGGUGGGGUACUGAACAGAACAACAAUGUUUAGCAUACGAAAAUUCCCCCAAACACAGCCUGACACCUGCUCUAUCUAUUCUCCCAACCAAGUCAAAGAAUCACAAACAGCUCUUUGCGAAAUAAUCUCCACAGGUGCACAGAGAUUAGAGAUGGGAUCAGUGAGCAUGUGUGUGGGUGUCUUCGGGGGGGUGCGUGGUAAAGGGGUACAUUUCUGGAAGGAGGAACGGCAAGCUCCAAGGAAAAGCAGCAGGAAGACCCUGGAAGACCUUGGACAUGUAGAAAGUCCACCAGGGUUUACCCAGGGUCCAAGGGAAGAAAAGAGCAUCCAGAUGUUCUCAAUUUUCUUUACAUACCUACCUGAAAGAAACAGGGGGUCUACUCGUAGCCGGCAAGUGGUCA